UACGGAGGGCGCGAGCGUUAAUCGGAAUUACUGGGCGUAAAGCGCGCGUAGGCUGUUGUGUAAGUUGGGGGUGAAAUCCCACGGCUCAACCGUGGAACAGCCCUUGAUACUGCGCGACUUGAAUCCGGGAGAGGGUGGCGGAAUUCCAGGUGUAGGAGUGAAGUCCGUAGAUAUCUGGAGGAACAUCAGUGGCGAAGGCGGCCACCUGGACCGGUAUUGACGCUGAGGCGCGAAAGCGUGGGGAGCAAACAGG
rnacentral:rRNA from 1 species